AAAGCUUUAAGUUAAAUUAAACUAUUAACCUUCAAAGUUAAAAAUAUAAAAUCUUUAAGCUUUA
rnacentral:tRNA from 2 species